rnacentral:SRP_RNA from 1 species
UGAUGGACUAGGUCGGGCAGUUAGGCCCUGCCCCUUCCCGCGAUAUGGUCUUCAGCGGGAGCCGAACCACGGGUGCGUCCGGACCGACCGGUGCGGGCCCUGCAAGCCAACGUAGAAGCCUCGUCCUUCGGGGGCGGCGGUCCGGGUCGGCCCAUCUGCAGGGAUGGUUCGACACCGGUUAGUCGUGGACAGUUCGCCAGGCGCGGAAGCGAGCAGCGAAUCCGCGGACAUCCGUCGCUCGAAGGGCCGCGGGGUGGAGACGGUGCGCAGGAUUCCCCGUAUCGGAACGACCGGGCAACCCCGUUCGUCCGUCU